UACGAAGGGGGCUAGCGUUGUUCGGAAUUACUGGGCGUAAAGGGCGCGUAGGCGGCUGUGCAAGUCAGAUGUGAAAGCCCUGGGCUCAACCCAGGAUGUGCAUUUGAUACCGCGCGGCUAGAGUGUCGGAGAGGAUGGUGGAAUUCCCAGUGUAGAGGUGAAAUUCGUAGAUAUUGGGAAGAACACCGGUGGCGAAGGCGACCAUCUGGACGACAACUGACGCUGAGGCGCGAAAGCGUGGGGAGCAAACAGG
rnacentral:rRNA from 1 species